AUUUAAAGAGUGCGUAAUAGCUCACUGGUCGAGUGACUCUGCGCCGAAAAUGUACCGGGGCUAAACGUAUCACCGAAGCUGUGGAUUGACAUCUUUGAUGUCAGUGGUAGGAGAGCGUUCUAAGUGCAGCGAAGUCAGACCGUAAGGACUGGUGGAGCGCUUAGAAGUGAGAAUGCCGGUAUGAGUAGCGAAAGACAAGUGAGAAUCUUGUCCACCGAAUGCC
rnacentral:rRNA from 1 species